UACGUAGGGUGCGAGCGUUGUCCGGAAUUAUUGGGCGUAAAGGGCUCGUAGGCGGUUUGUCGCGUCGGGAGUGAAAACCCAGGGCUUAACUCUGGGCUGGCUUUCGAUACGGGCAGACUAGAGGCAUGCAGGGGAGAACGGAAUUCCUGGUGUAGCGGUGAAAUGCGCAGAUAUCAGGAGGAACACCGGUGGCGAAGGCGGUUCUCGUG
rnacentral:rRNA from 1 species